AUAAUAGAUUGAUGUAAAAUUGAGACUUUAACAUUUUCAUGCAAUUUAUAUCAACAUGAUAUGCUAGAGUGUCGGUUUUACAACUAUCACAAAUCAAUCUUCGAA